AUCGCCGGUUUUCUUUCAUCUCGCACAAAUCUUUUCGCUUUUUACUAAAGAUUUCCGUGGAGGAAACAGCCCCGAAGUUUACGGUGGCUUUUGGAAGCCCGGGCGGAGCU